rnacentral:rRNA from 1 species
AGUGAACGCUUGCGGCCGGCCUAAAACAUGCAAGUCGAGCGAGCGGCGGACGGGUGGGGAAUGUAUGGGGACUGCCGGAUAGCGGGGGAUAACUACUGGGAACGGUAGCGAAUACCGCAUCCUAUCGGAUAACCCAUAUGGGAUUAGCUAGUAGGUGAGGUAAUGGCGCACCUAGGCGACGAUCCCUAGCUGGUCUGAGAGGAUGAUCAGCCACACUGGGACGGAGACACGGCCCAGACUCCUACGGAGGCAGCAGUGGGGAAUAUUGCACAAUGGGCGCAAGCCUGAUGCAGCCAUGCCGCGUGUAUGAAGAAGGCCUUCGGGUUGUAAAGUACUGUCAGUCGGGAGGCGUUACCGACAGAAGAAGCCCCGGCUAACUCCGUGCCAGCAGCCGCGGUAAUAC